UAGAGACACUUUAUUGACAGGAACAAGGAGUUUACUGAAAAACACCACCAACAGGCAUUAGGUUGUUGAAAUCUUGAAUGGUCAGGAAGAACAUUUCUAGAGUUCGGGGAAAGAUGGGCUGUGGAAAAUCAAGAAAAAGCCACGCAAAGCUGAUAACGUGGUAACAAGUUUCGUCAGGUCCACGGCUGCACGAGUUUGCUGAUGGUGUUUGACGCUGCUUCACAAACCUACAUGCACUCAUCCUUCAGCUCCUCCCUCCCUGUCACACACACUGCCCGUCAGCCGCAUCUCUUGCCAUGCGGAGAAGAAAAGAAUAGUACCAGCUUUGAGGCUUAGCUGGGCUGUGAUAGGGGUUAAAUCUGAUCUACAAUUCAGACUUGCUUCAAGUGCUCAUCUACUGGGUCCUACCGCAGACUCAAGGAAAGGGAGGGGUAGCUAGACAUGAAUCAUCUACCAUGGUGGAGUUCUAGAGAUUAGGAAAGGCCUGAGUGAUGAUUUAAAAAAAAAAAAACCUAAGAGCACAGGGCACACUCAGGGGCUUUCUUGGUACUCGACGCGAAAUGCACAAUGAAUGGAUCAUGGGCAUAAUGAUGCCCCAGGUACUAUACUAUCUGGAUACAUUUGCAGUAACU
rnacentral:lncRNA from 1 species